rnacentral:lncRNA from 1 species
CAUAUUUUAUUUUCAAAGUUAUCAGACUUAUUAUUCAAGUGGGCAACAUUAAUAUUGGAAGCCGCAUGUUUCAAUCUAUUUGUUUUGGGUGGGCCCCGGUUUUUUUUUUAAUCAUCAAGUUGCUGCCAUCAUCAAGCUGCUGGACCAUUUGGUUUAUAAAGGAAGCUGGACAAUAUCAAUUCUAGUAGUACUCGGAUUGUGGUCAAUGGAUUGACAGCUUUUCAUGCGGCAACAAAUCUUUUUCUCGGC